UACAGAGGGGGCAAGCGUUGUUCGGAAUUACUGGGCGUAAAGGGCGCGUAGGCGGCCUGCUAAGUCGAACGUGAAAUCCCUGGGCUCAACCCAGGAACUGCGUCCGAUACUGGUUGGCUUGAAUCCGGGAGAUGGAUGUGGAAUUCCAGGUGUAGCGGUGAAAUGCGUAGAUAUCAGGAAGAACACCCGUGGCGAAGGCGGCUCUCUGGGACGGUACUGACGCUGAGACGCGAAAGCGUGGGGAGCGAACAGG
rnacentral:rRNA from 1 species